UACAGAGGGGGCAAGCGUUGUUCGGAAUUACUGGGCGUAAAGCGCGCGUAGGCGGCUUUGCAAGUCGGGUGUGAAAUCCCCAGGCUUAACCUGGGAACUGCAUUCGAGACUGCAUUGCUAGAGUAUGGGAGAGGGAAGUGGAAUUUCUGGUGUAGCAGUGAAAUGCGUAGAUAUCAGAAGGAACAUCAGUGGCGAAGGCGGCUUUCUGGACCAAUACUGACGCUCAGGUGCGAAAGCGUGGGGAGCAAACAGG
rnacentral:rRNA from 1 species